UGAGCUUGAUCCCUGGCUCAGGAUGAACGCUAGCGGCAGGCUUAACACAUGCAAGUCGAGGGGUAUAGUUCUUCGGAAUUAGAGACCGGCGCACGGGUGCGUAACGCGUAUGCAAUCUACCUUUUACAGAGGGAUAGCCCAGAGAAAUUUGGAUUAAUACCUCAUAGUAUAAUGACUUGGCAUCAAGACAUUAUUAAAGUCACAACGGUAAAAGAUGAGCAUGCGUCCCAUUAGCUAGUUGGUAAGGUAACGGCUUACCAAGGCUACGAUGGGUAGGGGUCCUGAGAGGGAGAUCCCCCACACUGGUACUGAGACACGGACCAGACUCCUACGGGAGGCAGCAGUGAGGAAUAUUGGACAAUGGGCGCAAGCCUGAUCCAGCCAUGCCGCGUGCAGGAUGACGGUCCUAUGGAUUGUAAACUGCUUUUAUACGAGAAGAAACACUACUUCGUGAAGUAGCUUGACGGUAUCGUAAGAAUAAGGAUCGG
rnacentral:rRNA from 1 species